GGGAGACGCGCGGCCUCCGAGCUCGGAGCCGUCCCGCGGCGCCCGGGCUGAAGGGCUGGCUGGGAGCGGGCAGGCUGGAGAGGAAAGGCGGCCGACCCGCCUGCUUCCCGGCGCCUGAUGCGUGUUGACUGCACGGCUGCUGAAAUGGUUUGAGUUCUGCGUCUCCUUUCCCAACAAUGAACGGUUCAAAACCGCCGGUCCCGUCUGGAUUCGGAAUCUUUAAAAAUACGACCUGCCACACAGAGAAAAAGAUUUCGGUAUUUUUUUCCGUAAUCUUCAUGACAGUGGGGAUUUUGUCGAACAGUCUGGCAAUAGUGAUUCUCAUGAAGGCAUAUCAGAGAUUUAGACAGAAAUCAAAAGCAUCCUUUUUGCUUUUUGCAAGUGGCUUGGUUGUCACCGACCUCUUUGGCCAUCUCAUCAAUGGAACCAUUGCAGUGUUCGUGUAUGCAUCUGAUAAAGACUGGAUUCGAUUUAAUCAGUCAAACGUUCUUUGCAGUGUUUUUGGCAUAUGCAUGGUAUUCUUUGGUUUGUGCCCUCUCUUCCUGGGUAGUGUGAUGGCGGUUGAACGCUGCAUUGGCGUCACUAAGCCAAUAUUUCAUUCUACAAAAAUGACUUCUAAACAUGUGAAAAUGAUGUUGACUGUGGUAUGUCUCUUUGCUGUUUUUAUUGCUUUUCUGCCUAUUCUUAGGUUGAGAGCCUAUCAAAUUCAAGCAUCACGGACCUGGUGUUUCUAUAAAACAGAACAUAUUGAGGACUGGGAAGACAGAUUUUAUCUCUUGCUUUUUUCUUGCCUUGGGUUACUGGCCCUUGCCAUUUCAUUCUUGUGCAAUGCGGUGACAGGAGUUACUCUGUUAAGAGUUAAAUUUAAAAGUCAACAAAGACAAGGCAGAUCUCAUCAUUUUGAAAUGAUCAUUCAGCUAUUGGCUAUAAUGUGCGUGUCUUGCAUUUGCUGGAGUCCGUUCCUGGUGACAAUGGCCAAUAUCGGUAUAAAUGAAAAUCGCUCACUGGAGACAUGUGAAACAAUACUUUUCGCUCUUCGAAUGGCAACGUGGAAUCAAAUAUUAGAUCCUUGGGUAUAUAUUCUUCUAAGGAAAGCUGUACUUAAAAACCUCUACAAGAUUACAAGGCGAUGCUGUGGUAUGCACAUCAUGAACUUGCAUAUGUGGGAACUGAGCUCCAUCAAGAAUUCUUUAAAGGUUGCAGCAAUUUCUGAGUCACCAUCAAGUUCCAAACAAAUAAAUAAACAGUCACUCAACUCAAUGGGGCAAUAAAAUCAAAUACGGUCUGUGAAGAAACAAUGGGGGUAAUGAUCAUACAUUGAGAACACCUUCACACUUCUUAUAAUGAGGUUAAAUGAUUUGUACUUGUUUCAAAUCAUAAGAGUUUUUCAACAUGCUUCUUGAAUCAUGGACAUAAGAACUGGACACUAUUCCAGUAGCAGUUGCAUGGCUGUCAAACACAGAGGAAAUAGAAUGUCUUUACUCCUAACUGGUAUUUCUCUAUUUAUAUAGCCAAGUAACAUUAGGCCCUUUUGGCCAGAGCAUCCCCUGUAUAAUCCAUGUACAGGCUGUAUAACCCAGAAACUGUUUCACAGUCACUGCUUGCUAGGAAAGAGUCCACCAUUCAAUGUCCUUUGUUCCUAGAUGUCUAACUUUAGAUUUGGCUGUAUUAAAAUGUAUAUUGUUUGCUUAUGCCCAGUUUACCAAGCAAUCCAGUGUGCUCAAUAUCCAUGACCCAUUGUUUCAUUAUUUACUACUUAGAGAACUUUGCGUCAGUCACAAACUUUAUCAGUAAUACUUUAUUUUCUUCCAGGUCAUUGCGUAGACCUACUAUUGAUGAUUCAUCAUUUACAAUUAUAUUUCGAGGCCCAUUAGUAAUUUUUAGUUAAUUUAGAGGUCUUAUAACUAGCCCAUUUGUACCACAAUAAACCACAGGACAGAUGAAAAUUAUGGGUCUUGUCUGAUAACCCCUUAACCAGAUAAUGACUACUAUUGAGGUUAUCAGGAAAGAAAUUAAAUCCAAACCAUGUGAGUCUUUAUAAAGGGUAAAGUUGAUCAAAUUCAUUAGCAAAUUUCUAGAAUACCACAGAUGCAUCUGCAGAAAUGUACAUACAAUACACCUGCUUUGUCUACAAAGGCCCACACUGGUGCCUAUAAAAAUAAUUUGAACACAAUGGGUAUAUGCAUGUAAAACCGCAUUCUAGGUAAAUGUGUGCAUGUGUGUGUUUUAUGGGAGCAAAAGGUAUAUUCACUCUUUGCAGAUGUAUUUGGUGUUCUUUUCUUUGCUAAAUUUAAGGCACAUGUUUGAAGUGCUGAGUGCCUUCAAGGAGAUUAGAGGGUACUUGGAGAACAUCUUGAGAUUCGCAGGGCAAAUUCUGCCCUUCACUAUUAAAAUUACUGGAUUGCACUAUUAAAAUUUUUUAUGGAUUGCAAAUUUGAUAUCAAAGUAUAACAUAACCUUUAGUUCUGCAUUAUGAAAAUCAAUACCAUAAUAAUAAUUCUUGCAUCAUUUAAUUAAAGAUAAUAAUUGCAAAUGAUUACAUGCCAAAUAUUAGUCAUGCAGUGGGAAUCAUUUUAAUAACAUUAGUUGUAUACAUUAAUUUUGUUCUCAUAUGGCCUGAUCCUAUCUUAUCCCCAUUUAAAUGAACGGGGCAAAAUCUCCUUUGGGUAUCUACACACAUGCUCCGAGAGCUGCUCUAAAUAAAGUGCCUGGAGCAUCUCGUGUGUCAAUGUCACCACGCUUCAAAAUGGCGGCGGGGUCCUUUAUCUAAAGCUCAUCAAACAAGCUUUAGAUAAAGUGCCCCUGCUGCCAUUUUGAAGUGCAGAGAUGCUGAUACAUGAGAUAAGGAGGCUGGCUGGAGCAUGGUAAUUACCACACUCCACGAUUCAUGUAUAGGUACCUUUUGUGUUCAUUGAGAGCAGGAUCAGGCCUGAGGAGAUUUUGGUAAUGUGUAAGUGUGUUUGGUUGACCUUUGACUUUAUUGCUAUAAUGCACAGUUUUUCUUCAAGGGCAAGCUAUCGUGAUACUACACAGCCAUUAUGGUUUUAAAGGAACACAGAGGUGGUAAGCCAUGUUAUUCAGGCAGAAAUCAGGUCCUAUCUUCUGCCUGAUCUUAAAAGUAGAAAUAUAGCUGUUGAUUCAAAACUAAGGCAAUUCUAAGUGUUGCCUUAAGGUAGAAGGUAUACUACAUCAAGCUACAGAAACUCAAAAAUAACUUUUCCCAAGUAAUUGAAAGAUACUGUCUUUCUUAUAUUUUUUCAGCAAAAGGCAGGAUACCUCAAGAGUUAUAAGUGACCUCUUUAGAUACAAAGACAAUUAACCUUGACUUAGAAAUGAAUAUAACUAAGCAAAGAUAAGAAAGCAAUUCCUAAGCAAUUGAGUCUGUCAUCAUAAUAUAAUUGAUCAUGCCUAUUCAUAUUCUGUUAAAAAAAGCAAGGCGAGUGGUAGGGAGAAGAAGCUUUGAUCUUUGUGUUUGUAUUAUGCUUAGAACCAAAACAAAAGUAGUAUAGAGUUUCUAAUAAUGUGCUGCUUUUGAAUGGAAAAUUACAGUAUUGAAUGUAACCUACUUUAUUUCAAAUAAUUGCUCCACAUUUGCAAAUUCUCAGUAGAUCUAGGCAAAAAAUAUUUUGAUUUUUUUUCAGUUCAGUCACCAAACCUAAGCAGUUGGUUAUUUGCACUGUUUUGAUUGUCAUUGUAGAGGGUGCGCCUAUACACGUGCUUUAAUGCACAUUAGCUUAUUUUAAUGCAUAUUAAAGCGUCACUAAAAAAGUGCUGUUUAGUUAAUUUGUAUUAAAACAGGCUAAGGCACAUUAAGCAUCAUUUAAAAACCAUAGGUGCCUAUACAGGAGCAGGGAGGUUACUCUAAGGUGCUGCAAUUCCAGCACAUCGAAGCAGACUCAAUUAAUCAAGUCUGUGGGAGAGUGGGAAUUACCACACUCCUGAAGCUUCCUGUGUCUCGUAUCAGCAUCCUCAAGCUUCAAAAUGGCAGUGGGGGCUCUUUAAAACUCAUUCACUGAGCUCAUUCAAUAAAGCUUGUUUGAUAAACUUUAGAUAAAGCGCCCCUGCCACCAUUUUGAAGUGAAGGGACGCUGAAACAUGAGAUGGUCUGGGCACUGUACUUAAAGCAUCCCUCCAGGGAGCACAUGUAUAAAUGCCCCGUGCAUUUCAGUUAAUGCUUAUUAAGACAGGUUAAUGUGCAUUUUCUUAGUAUUUCACCAUGGAGGUACUAAAUUUAAUGCACAUUAACUAAAGCAAGUUAAUGCACAUGUAGACAUGCCCACAGUUUAUUGAAAUUUGUGGUACUGUGCCAGUGCUCAUUUUGGCCUCCUUACUGUACAGGAUGUGACACAAAUAUGCCUAUGACAUGAUUAUUCAUCCCGUGGGGUGAGAAUUUUGUGCAAGCAGUUGCAGAAUAAGGUUGGUCUAUACGUUUUUGAGAUAUUUGACCAGUGGCUGAAGCUUAUUUGCAUUCUGUUGUGUGAAUAAAUGUAUCAUGUGAAAUUUCAUGCUACCUGAAUUGUAAAAAAAAAAAGGAAAGAAAAAAGUUAUCUUUAUAUGUAUAUCUGUGUCAUUAUACUUUGUGUAGUGAUAUGUAUUGUACUUAAAUUGCAGCGUCUCAUUAAACCUAUUAAAACAUAUGUUGAGUAAAGAUAUUUUAAAAUGAUGAGAAAACAUGAAAUACUGAAAAAUAAUUCAUUAAACCCUAUAUAUGUACACCAA